AGAGAUGUGUGAUGACGCAUAUCAAUAAGCGGAGGAAAAGAAACUAACAAGGAUUCCCUUAGUAACGGCGAGUGAAGCGGGAAGAGCUCAAAUUUGAAAUCUUCAGGGUUCUACCUUGACGAAUUGUAGUUUAAAGAAGUGUUUUCUGUUGGAGUUUUGGUAAAAGUUCUUUGGAAUAGGACAUCAUAGAGGGUGAGAAUCCCGUAUUUGACCAUUAUUUUCAGCUGUGUGAUACACUUUCAAAGAGUCGGAUUGUUUGGGAAUGCAGUCCAAAAUGGGUGGUAAAUUUCAUCUAAAGCUAAAUAUUGGCGAGAGACCGAUAGCGAACGAGUACCGUGAGGGAAAGAUGAAAAGAACUUUGAAAAGAGAGUUAAACAGUACGUGAAAUUGUCAAAAGGGAAGCGUUUGACACCAGUGUUGUUUUCUCGAAAAUCAAUUAAAAAAGGCCGGAUUUUGUGUUGUAUUGACCUUAAAAGCUUUCUUCACUCUUUUCUUGUCUUUUUUAAUGCACUUUUCGUUUAACAAGUCAACAUCAGUUUCUUUUGUUGUAAAAGGGUCAUUGGAAGGUGGCUUUCUUUUCGGAGAAAGUGUUUAUAGCCUUUGAUCUCUGCAACCGGAGAGACUGAGGUCUGCAGCGUAGACUCUUCGGGGUUAGAUACAUUUGUGCUAAGCUAUAGCUUUUUAUAGACAACUUGUUGACUAUAUUUAGUCUUGUGGCUUACUCGCUUAUGCUAUUUUACCUACGCUUAGGAUGUUGAACUACUGAGACAUAGA
rnacentral:rRNA from 1 species